UGUAGGAUAGGUGGGAGGCUUUGAAGUGUGGACGCCAGUCUGCAUGGAGCCGACCUUGAAAUACCACCCUUUAAUGUUUGAUGUUCUAACGUAGGCCCCUUAUCGGGGUUGCGGACAGUGUCUGGUGGGUAGUUUGACUGGGGCGGUCUCCUCCUAAAGAGUAACGGAGGAGCACGAAGGUUGGCUAAUCCUGGUCGGACAUCAGGAGGUUAGUGCAAUGGCAUAAGCCAGCUUGACUGCGAGCGUGACGGCGCGAGCAGGUGCGAAAGCAGGUCAUAGUGAUCCGGUGGUUCUGAAUGGAAGGGCCAUCGCUCAACGGAUAAAAGGUACUCCGGGGAUAACAGGCUGAUACCGCCCAAGAGUUCAUAUCGACGGCGGUGUUUGGCACCUCGAUGUCGGCUCAUCACAUCCUGGGGCUGAAGUAGGUCCCAAGGGUAUGGCUGUUCGCCAUUUAAAGUGGUACGCGAGCUGGGUUUAGAACGUCGUGAGACAGUUCGGUCCCUAUCUGCCGUGGGCGCUGGAGAACUGAGGGGGGCUGCUCCUAGUACGAGAGGACCGGAGUGGACGCAUCACUGGUGUUCGGGUUGUCAUGCCAAUGGCACUGCCCGGUAGCUAAAUGCGGAAGAGAUAAGUGCUGAAAGCAUCUAAGCACGAAACUUGCCCCGAGAUGAGUUCUCCCUGACCCUUUAAGGGUCCUGAAGGAACGUUGAAGACGACGACGUUGAUAGGCCGGGUGUGUAAGCGCAGCGAUGCGUUGAGCUAACCGGUACUAAUGAACCGUGAG
rnacentral:rRNA from 1 species